GACGUAGGGGGCCAGCGUUGUUCGGAAUUACUGGGUGUAAAGGGUUCGUAGGCGGUGUGGCAAGUCGGGAGUGAAAUCUCUGGGCUCAACUCAGAGACUGCUUCCGAAACUGCUGUGCUGGAGUGUGGGAGAGGCGCGUGGAAUUGCAGGUGUAGCGGUGAAAUGCGUAGAUAUCUGGAGGAACACCGGUGGCGAAGGCGGCAUCCUGGACCAACACUGACACUGAGGAGCGAAAGCCAGGGGAGCAAACGGG
rnacentral:rRNA from 1 species